rnacentral:rRNA from 1 species
UACGUAGGCAGCGAGCGUUGUUCGGAGUUACUGGGCGUAAAGGGUGUGUAGGCGGUUGCUUAAGUUUGGUGUGAAAUCUCCCGGCUCAACCGGGAGGGUGCGCCGAAUACUGAGUGACUAGAGUGCGGGAGAGGAAAGUGGAAUUCCUGGUGUAGCGGUGAAAUGCGUAGAUAUCCGGAGGAAUACCAAAGGCGAAGGCAGUGUCCUGGCUGGCAUCUGACGCUGAGGCGCGAAAGCUAGGGGAGCGAACAGG